rnacentral:rRNA from 1 species
CCCAGACUCCUACGGGAGGCAGCAGUGGGGGAUAUUGGACAAUGGGGGAAACCCUGAUCCAGCGACGCCGCGUGAGUGAAGAAGUAUUUCGGUAUGUAAAGCUCUAUCAGCAGGGAAGAAAGAAAUGACGGUACCUGAGUAAGAAGCCCCGGCUAACUACGUGCCAGCAGCCGCGGUAAUACGCAGGGGGCAAGCGUUAUCCGGAAUUACUGGGUGUAAAGGGAGCGUAGACGGUUAAGCAAGUCUGGGGUGAAAGGCGGGGGCCCAACCCCCGGACUGCUCUGGAAACUGUGUAACUAGAGUGCAGGAGAGGUAAGCGGAAUUCCUAGUGUAGCGGUGAAAUGCGUAGAUAUUAGGAGGAACACCGGUGGCGAAGGCGGCCUGCUGGACUGCAACUGACGUUGAGGCCCGAAAGCGUGGGGAGCAAACAGGAUUAGAUACCCCGGUA